rnacentral:rRNA from 1 species
AUAAUAAAUUGUUUGAUAAAUUUAAACUAGAAUGAAAGGAAUAAAGAAGGUCUACUAUUAACAUACGACUAUCAGAAACUAUAAUUAAGGUGAAAAUUCCUUACAGUAACUCUCAAACGAGAAGACCCUAGAAACUAAUCAUCACAACUUUUUUUGGGAUAAAACUUUAAAAUAAAAGAGUCAUCACCACCUCAAAUAAAACAGUUACUCUAGGGAUAACAGCACAAUAAAAGCCAAGAGAACUUAUCUACCCUUUAGAUUGUGACCUCGAUGUUGAAUCAAGAAUUACCAGCCGUAGAAGGCUAGCAAGUUUCGUCUGUUCGACGAUACAUAAAUACGUGAUUUGAGUUUAAACCGUCGCAAGACAGGUUGGAUUCUCUUUAGAGUUACAACAUAUAACCAUUACU